rnacentral:rRNA from 1 species
UAGGGAAUCUUCCGCAAUGGGCGAAAGCCUGACGGAGCAACGCCGCGUGAGUGAUGAAGGUCUUCGGAUCGUAAAACUCUGUUAUUAGGGAAGAACAAAUGUGUAAGUAACUAUGCACGUCUUGACGGUACCUAAUCAGAAAACCACGGCUAACUACGUGCCAGCAGCCGCGGUAAUACGUAGGUGGCAAGCGUUAUCCGGAAUUAUUGGGCGUAAAGCGCGCGUAGGCGGUUUUUUAAGUCUGAUGUGAAAGCCCACGGCUCAACCGUGGAGGGUCAUUGGAAACUGGAAAACUUGAGUGCAGAAGAGGAAAGUGGAAUUCCAUGUGUAGCGGUGAAAUGCGCAGAGAUAUGGAGGAACACCAGUGGCGAAGGCGACUUUCUGGUCUGUAACUGACGCUGAUGUGCGAAAGCGUGGGGAUCAAACAGG